rnacentral:rRNA from 1 species
UACGUAGGGUGCAAGCGUUGUCCGGAAUUAUUGGGCGUAAAGAGCUCGUAGGCGGCUUGUCGCGUCGGCUGUGAAAACCUGGGGCUCAACCCCGGGCCUGCAGCCGAUACGGGCAAACUAGAAUUCGGUAGGGGAGACUGGAAUUCCUGGUGUAGCGGUGAAAUGCGCAGAUAUCAGGAGGAACACCGGUGGCGAAGGCGGGUCUCUGGGCCGAUAUUGACGCUGAGACGCGAAAGCGUGGGGAGCGAACAGG